CCCCGGCGGGCCGCCCAGCUACCUCAGGGAUGGAGUCGGCGGCGGCGGCCCCCUGGCCCAGCGCGAAGGCCAGGCGCGGCAGGGUGCUCUCGGCGCGGCCCGGCAGCUUCUCCUGCGACAUCAGAAUAUCGUCCAGCGACAGGAAGGCAGACUGACUCUUGCAGAUGUGGUGCAGGUGGAAUACCCAGACCCACAGCCAGCCAGACAGGACUUUGCUGAGGGAUCCAGUUCAAGGGGCUUGGCAGUGUGAGAUCCCACUGUCCUGCCUGUGGAAACAGUGUUUUGGUGGCUGCUGCAGCAACAAGCUCGUGUCCUGGGAUCAGCUCAAGUCCUGGACCCUCCUCUUAUGGUGCUGCUGAACCUCCAGGACUAAUACAUCUCUCACUGCUAGAAGGACUCUGUCUGUUUGUCCUCUGACCUGCCCAGAACCCAGAUGCCCUCUACUUUCUGCUUUCCUGUCUAUCCAAACUGGCAGUACCACCCCAGGUGUGAGGCACCCUUAUCCUUAGUAUGGAACAUCGAUGCUGGAAAGAGCUGCAGAGAGAAAAGCAAAGGGUUGCAGCCUACGUGUCCCCAGACUGGUAUGACAGCAAGGACACCUCUCCCUGGGGAAGACACUGCUGCUGAAAAGUUGAAGGGAACAGCAUUUCCAGAAGCCAGUGGCAGGUCCCUGGAGAGCUGAAGACAAAAUCCACAGCACAGCCUGUUCUGCAAACCUGCCCCUGCUCGCUGGCACCCGCUGGAGCCACAGGACUUGCUCAGACCCAGAAGGGCACACAGCUCAUCACCAAGCCUCAGAUGGGCAUCAUGGACACACAACACACCUCAAAAAGGAGCUCACAAGAGAGCUCCCAAGCCAAGCCUCAGGCCUCCCACGUCGCUCUCUUACCUUCUCCACCCGAGCAGCUGCUCUUUCCACUUUCCACAGCAGUUCCUUUUUCUGGGAGAUGUCUUUCAUCAGAGGCACGGAUGUUGCCAUGGCAUCCUGCAGCUUCCUCUGGAACAGGAGAGCAGGACAGCAUCAGCCACCUACAAAUGUAUCCAUCUACUCCUCUGGCUUGGUCCCAGGAGCUCUCUCUCACCACCCAUCCCCUGCAGAAGGCAGCAGCAUGUCCUGAUCAGGCAGCUACUGCUUUGCUACAUCCUCUAUGUUCUCUGUCUGUGGUUUUGGGCUGCCCUAGACAGAUGCACAUGCACCACCUGAGAAGCACUUUGCACUGAUGAGGGCAGGGAUUCAGAGGAUGGCUGCAGCACAUGACAUCUUUUCAAAUGUCACAGGUUAUGUAAACAAUGUCUUUUCCUGUGCAAGGCAGCACCAAAGUUCUUUCCUACUGGAAUCUUCCCCUGGGAUGUAAAGGAACUGUGCUGCAAGGCAUGAACCUUGGGGCUGUUUAGUCUGGAGAAGAGGAGAUUGAGGGGAGAUCUUAUUAACAUGUAUAAAUAUCUCACU